rnacentral:ncRNA from 1 species
GGUGUUGGUCGAUUAAGACAGCAGGACGGUGGUCAUGGAAGUCGAAAUCCGCUAAGGAGUAUGUAACAACUCACAUGCCGAAUCAACUAGCCCCCAAAAUGGAUAGCGCUUAAGCGCGCGACCUAUACCCGGCCGUCGGGGCAAGAGCCUGGCCCCGAUGAGUAGGAGGGAGCGGCAGUCGCCGUAAAACCCGGGGCGCGAGCCCG